UUUUUUUUUUUUUUUUUUUUUUUUUUUUUUUUUUUUUUUUUUUUCCGCUUAGGGUACACCUUGUUGGCGUGAC
rnacentral:ribozyme from 13 species